GAUGAACGCUGGCGGCGUGCCUAAUACAUGCAAGUCGAGCGAACGGACGAGAAGCUUGCUUCUCUGAUGUUAGCGGCGGACGGGUGAGUAACACGUGGAUAACCUACCUAUAAGACUGGGAUAACUUCGGGAAACCGGAGCUAAUACCGGAUAAUAUUUUGAACCGCAUGGUUCAAAAGUGAAAGACGGUCUUGCUGUCACUUAUAGAUGGAUCCGCGCUGCAUUAGCUAGUUGGUAAGGUAACGGCUUACCAAGGCAACGAUGCAUAGCCGACCUGAGAGGGUGAUCGGCCACACUGGAACUGAGACACGGUCCAGACUCCUACGGGAGGCAGCAGUAGGGAAUCUUCCGCAAUGGGCGAAAGCCUGACGGAGCAACGCCGCGUGAGUGAUGAAGGUCUUCGGAUCGUAAAACUCUGUUAUUAGGGAAGAACAUAUGUGUAAGUAACUGUGCACAUCUUGACGGUACCUAAUCAGAAAGCCACGGCUAACUACGUGCCAGCAGCCGCGGUAAUACGUAGGUGGCAAGCGUUAUCCGGAAUUAUUGGGCGUAAAGCGCGCGUAGGCGGUUUUUUAAGUCUGAUGUGAAAGCCCACGGCUCAACCGUGGAGGGUCAUUGGAAACUGGAAAACUUGAGUGCAGAAGAGGAAAGUGGAAUUCCAUGUGUAGCGGUGAAAUGCGCAGAGAUAUGGAGGAGCACCAGUGGCGAAGGCGACUUUCUGGUCUGUAACUGACGCUGAUGUGCGAAAGCGUGGGGAUCAAACAGGAUUAGAUACCCUGGUAGUCCACGCCGUAAACGAUGAGUGCUAAGUGUUAGGGGGUUUCCGCCCCUUAGUGCUGCAGCUAACGCAUUAAGCACUCCGCCUGGGGAGUACGACCGCAAGGUUGAAACUCAAAGGAAUUGACGGGGACCCGCACAAGCGGUGGAGCAUGUGGUUUAAUUCGAAGCAACGCGAAGAACCUUACCAAAUCUUGACAUCCUUUGACAACUCUAGAGAUAGAGCUUUCCCCUUCGGGGGACAAAGUGACAGGUGGUGCAUGGUUGUCGUCAGCUCGUGUCGUGAGAUGUUGGGUUAAGUCCCGCAACGAGCGCAACCCUUAAGCUUAGUUGCCAUCAUUAAGUUGGGCACUCUAAGUUGACUGCCGGUGACAAACCGGAGGAAGGUGGGGAUGACGUCAAAUCAUCAUGCCCCUUAUGAUUUGGGCUACACACGUGCUACAAUGGACAAUACAAAGGGCAGCGAAACCGCGAGGUCAAGCAAAUCCCAUAAAGUUGUUCUCAGUUCGGAUUGUAGUCUGCAACUCGACUACAUGAAGCUGGAAUCGCUAGUAAUCGUAGAUCAGCAUGCUACGGUGAAUACGUUCCCGGGUCU
rnacentral:rRNA from 1 species